AUUGAACGCUGGCGGCAUGCCUUACACAUGCAAGUCGAACGGCAGCACGGGAGCAAUCCUGGUGGCGAGUGGCGAACGGGUGAGUAAUGUAUCGGAACGUACCUUUCAGUGGGGGAUAACGUAGCGAAAGUUACGCUAAUACCGCAUAUUCUGUGAGCAGGAAAGCAGGGGAUCGCAAGACCCUGCGCUGAUUGAGCGGCCGAUAUCAGAUUAGCUAGUUGGUGAGGUAAAGGCUCACCAAGGCGACGAUCUGUAGCGGGUCUGAGAGGAUGAUCCGCCACACUGGAACUGAGACACGGUCCAGACUCCUACGGGAGGCAGCAGUGGGGAAUUUUGGACAAUGGGCGCAAGCCUGAUCCAGCCAUGCCGCGUGAGUGAAGAAGGCCUCGGUUGU
rnacentral:rRNA from 1 species